AGAUAACAGUGGUGACAGCAUCAUGUUCUUCAGUGAUGUUGGGCAGUGAUGGAGGGUGCCAUGUGAAGCUCUCCACAGAUAACAGUGGUGACAGCAUCAUGUUCUUCAGUGAUGUUGGGCAGUGAUGGAGGGUGCCAUGUGAAGCUCUCCACAGAUAACAGUGGUGACAGCACCAUGUUCUUCAGUGAUGUUGGGCAGUGAUGGAGGGUGCCAUGUGAAGCUCUCCACAGAUAACAGUGGUGACAGCAUCAUGUUCUUCAGUGAUGUUGGGCAGUGAUGGAGGGUGCCAUGUGAAGCUCUCCACAGAUAACAGUGGUGACAGCAUCAUGUUCUUCAGUGAUGGCGGGCAGUGAUGGAGGGUGCCAUGUGAAGCUCUCCACAGAUAACAGUGGUGACAGCAUCAUGUUCUUCAGUGAUGGCGGGCAGUGAUGGAGGGUGCCAUGUGAAGCUCUCCACAGAUAACAGUGGUGACAGCACCAUGUUCUUCAGUGAUGUUGGGCAGUGAUGGAGGGUGCCAUGUGAAGCUCUCCACAGAUAACAGUGGUGACAGCAUCAUGUUCUUCAGUGAUGUUGGGCAGUGAUGGAGGGUGCCAUGUGAAGCUCUCCAGAGAUAACAGUGGUGACAGCAUCAUGUUCUUCAGUGAUGUUGGGCAGUGAUGGAGGGUGCCAUGUGAAGCUCUCCAGAGAUAACAGUGGUGACAGCAUCAUGUUCUUCAGUGAUGUUGGGCAGUGAUGGAGGGUGCCAUGUGAAGCUCUCCACAGAUAACAGUGGUGACAGCACCAUGUUCUUCAGUGAUGGCAGGCAGUGAUGGAGGGUGCCAUGUGAAGCUCUCCACAGAUAACAGUGGUGACAGCACCAUGUUCUUCAGUGAUGGCGGGGGCCCUCACCAGUCUUCUUCAUUAAGCUUCUGUCUUCCUGCUUCAGGCUGCAAUCAAACAGUUGUUUAGUACCACAUUAAUAUGUUUGGGGCAGAUUGAAUUAUAGCUAACAUAGUAUACUGUUUGAUUGAAUAUUUGAAAGAAUCAAACCUAAACUAACAUACUGUUUGAUUGAAUAUUUGAAAGAAUCAAACCUAAACUAACAUACUGUUUGAUUGAAUAUUUGAAAGAAUCAAACCUAAACUAACAUACUGUUUGAUUGAAUAUUUGAAAGAAUCAAACCUAAACUAACAUACUGUUUGAUUGAAUAUUUGAAAGAAUCAAACCUAAACUAACACACUGUUUGAUUGAAUAUUUGAAAGAAUCAAACCUAAACUAACCAGGUUACCCCAUUCCCAAGCUUGCAGGGUAGGCACUGAAAAAGGUAGAUUGAAAAACAGAACUGUAUUACUAACCUAAAUGAAUGUAUUAUUCUAGUGUUUGUGUUAGAGAUAGGUUUACUGUUCAACAGGAUGAGGUAGGGUUGUUAAGUAUGAAAAUGGCUCUUAAUCAAUGAAGCAGUAAUGCAUGGUUACUAUUUUGUCUGUGAUGGUUAAAUUAUUAGCAUGUGUAAAAGCUACAACUGCUAUAUACUGCAUAGUAAUAUUCUAUGUAUCUAUAUAUCUUUCCCUUUGCCCUAAUUAACCCGUUCGUGGUCAACCACGUCACCUGACGUGUUAAUGUUGUUACUCCCUCUGGUCAACCACGUCAUAUGACGUUUUAUUAUUAUUUUUUUUCCACGUGAAUGAAAUGCCUCUAGUGGUUUAUAAUUACGUUUAUUGAAGUGUCAGGCAUCUUUUCUCAAGUGAUGACUUUUAGCGCGGCAGUUUUAUUGGUUCAGAGCAUGCUUAUGGCACGUAGAUGUCGACUCGACGCUCUCUCUGAUGAGCAAACUCAGCCUCAUUUCAAUGAAGAGGAGGGUGAUACUGACAGUGAAUCUACAAUAGAUGAUAGUGAUAAAGAUGAAGAUUAUGUUUUUCAAGAAAGUGUGGAUCUGAAUGUUAUCCAGCAGACACAGCAGCAGCUGACUACUCCUCAAACAUAUGCUCUGGUCCAUCACCUACUCAACUAUCUUCUCCGCCUCCUUCCACCUCUAGGUGUUUAUAUCCACCACGUGGUGGCAGAACGAAGAUGGCAAGAUGUCGGUGUUCAUCAUCCAAAGAUGAAAGCAAUGCGUCUCGUCCAAGAGUGACUCCCCCACCCGCCCGUGGUCUCACUCCAGCCACACAGACACCUUCCUGCCGAUCCUGUAGGUCACGUGUUAUGCCACAUUUAUGUUUCCUGUUCAGAAUUACUAGCCAGACAAAUUGUGUUCUUAUAGCCUAGUCAUACACUAUCAUAAGAAUGUAGUGUUGUACAAAAGGAAACAAUUGUUAUGCCACAUUUCCUUUUUGUUUCCCGUUCAUAAUUACUAUUUUGAGACUAAUUGUGUUCUUAUAGUGAUACAAUAUCAUAAGAAUGUAGUGUUGUGCAAAAGAAAAACAAUAUGUAAUGAAUGACUGGCUAACAUAACCUUGUCUCAAACUAAAGAAAAA